rnacentral:rRNA from 1 species
UACGGAGGGUGCAAGCGUUAUCCGGAUUCACUGGGUUUAAAGGGUGCGUAGGCGGGUUGAUAAGUCCGUGGUGAAAUCUCCGAGCUUAACCCGGAAAUGGCAUUGAAUACUAUUGAGCUGGAGGUUUGGAGGGGGGACUGGAAUUCUCGGUGUAGCAGUGAAAUGCGUAGAUAUCGAGAGGAACACCAGUGGCGAAGGCGAGUCCCUGGACAACACCUGACACUGAGGCACGAAAGCUAGGGGAGCAAACAGG